UGUUUAAAUAAUCUUUAUUAAACUUGCCAUUAAAAUAAAAAUGAAAUCAGACUUCUUGUGAUUACUGAUUGAUAUAUUUCUCCAAUCUGCAUCCAAACUGUUUUGUUAAUGUAACUUUGUUAGUGAGCUUGCUAUUAAGCUGACCAGUUUAUAGUGUUGUAAAGCUGCUUAAGUCUUGUCAAUGAAGCACUGAAUUUGAGGGGCCUCAACCACCAUGUUAAUUACACCUAAGGAAAACCAAGUAGUUUUGCAGGGUGAAAAAACACAAAACCAGAUACUGCAAACGUGGGGAAAACAAGCAGGUAUCACUCAGUGUCUUCAAACAUUUCCCCUAUUGCAAUCACAGUUAUCACAUUAGUGAUAACUUGAGAAUCAAGUCAUGGCCAAGCAAAUUGUUGCAAUUAAGGAAAUCAACAUAUACUGAGCACUGGUAAUAGGUGAAAAUGGGUAUAGCAAAAGCAAAACCUCUUCUUUCUAAUAGUCAUCCUCAAGGCAAAAUCCCUGAGUACAAUUCAGUUACAGGAGAACGUUGUCUGGAUUAUGGCACUCUACAGUUUAGCUCUUGCUCCACUACUAGAACUAUAGUCUAUCUUGUUAAAACUUUGCAGCUUCCACCCUUGGCCUCUGCUAUUCUUAUUUACUCACAACUGCAUAUCAUAGCACUUGUAAUAAUCUGAGAAAUAUGAUAUUGAAAUCCUUAGUGCCAGAGUAUAAAAUAGGGAUGCUGGCUAAUUCACGACAGCAUCCUCCUUCAGUCUGACCACUAGCAAUUUAUAACAUUUAAGAAACACUGAAAAGCUCACUGGUUUUCCUGCACUGAGGAAUCUGAAAUACUUAAUGGAGUGCUGAACCAUUCACUAGCAUGGGCUGGCAGGUUACAGUGAAUGUAAAGAUGGAAGUGUGGCAGUUUGCUUGUUUGGUUAAUUGUCCAGGCUCCUCCAGUUUAAAAUGGACAAUUCUAAUAGACCAAAAAGCCCAUCAGGAUAAAGCGAUAGAGAACAUUUACCUCC
rnacentral:lncRNA from 1 species